CACGUAGGGCGCAAGCGUUGUCCGGAAUUAUUGGGCGUAAAGAGCUCGUAGGUGGUCUGUUGCGUCCGCUGUGAAAACUCGGGGCUUAACCCCGAGCCUGCAGUGGAUACGGGCAGACUAGAGGUAGGUAGGGGAGAAUGGAAUUCCUGGUGCAGCGGUGAAAUGCGCAGAUAUCAGGAGGAACACCGGUGGCGAAGGCGGUUCUCUGGGCCGUUACUGACGCUGAGGAGCGAAAAGCGUGGGGGAGCGAACAGG
rnacentral:rRNA from 1 species